AGAAGCUGGGGUUAUGGGGACAUUUCAGGUAUUAGUACAUUAAGCAUGCAAAUCAUAUGCAAACUCAUUCUCUAACUGUUGAAUUAACUCAGGCACGUUUAUAACUAAAUUUCAAUGUGAGUUCCGUACAUUUAAAGCAGAACUACAGCCAAAUGCUGAUCCAAAUAUUUACAUCAUCCACAUAAGUCGUAGCAGCCAUUUUGGGAGUAACAAGCCCCAGCACAUACCAACUCAGUCUGGAAUUCAUCCCGACCUCUUAUUUGAUAACCACUUGAAGAAGUUCGUGGCACAUCCAUUUAACUCUGUUUAGGCAGCGCCAUCAUCUGCUCUUCUAUGACUCCACUUUGUCCAGAAAUCACAAGCCACCUGCUUUGAAUUCAGAAUGAUCUGACAGGGCCUCCCCUACGUGCUAUGGGGGAGGGAGGAAAUUAUAGGGAAGAUAAACACAGUCCUUACUUUAUUUUCUUUGUGGCCUUGAAACAUUGCUCCAGUCCAAAUAUUUUUAAAUUCUCUAUACAGACUGAAUCUAUCUUUCUGGAAAUAGACACUGAGUUUUGUCACAUUUAGGACCAUUUGCAGAAAUUCAUUUUCAGAUGAGGGAAAAGUGUUGUUAAGAUUGAAGGUAUAAAAAAAAUAAAUUUAUUUUCUUCCUGGAAAUUCAUCAACUUAUUAUUAUUGUUUUUAACCUUGGAUCAAAGAAUAUUUAUGAGACUCAAUUUAUAGGUGUUGAUUCUUCUCUUUGGAGUUAAUUUUAUGAGAAUGGACAGACUUGGUGACACAUUACUACAAAGGGCAGGAAUGGCCUUGGCCUUUGGGUUUGUUCCAGCUUCAACUGGUCAGCUGACAGUACAAGGGUCCAGAGAACAAGGGUGCCUUUGGGCUCACCCACCUCGGAGGCUGGACUGCAGCAGGAAUGAGCUAGGGAGGAACUGAGUAGGGCAAUAUAUUGUAUGGAAUAGCAAAAGAAACCAAAAAGCAAAUUAGGGUUUCUUCCUUAGCUAUAAAAUAAUUCCACACUGUGAGGCCCAUUGUCAGGUCUUGCCAAAUAGUAUACUCGUAUCAAGAUGGAACCUGUAUUUCUUCAGGUAAAUUAAUAAAAUUAAUUUAAUAACUUCCCAGUUUUUAAAAAACGUUUAAUAUGAAAAAAAAAUCAAACAGAUGUUUUGCCUCAAAAAAUGGUUUAUAAUCAAAACUUACAUAAUCAAACCUUAUCCUCAACGAACAGAUCUGAACACAGGUAACAAUGACGCAGCAAUAUUUAAAUAGAAUAAAAAAAUACAAGAGGAAAAGGUUGGGGUAAAAUUCUAUCUUAAACUGUUACUGACAGUACUCCUUUAAAGGCUUCAGCAAUUACAGCAGAGAAAUGAUUCAAGGCACUCUUACUAGAUGUCUUCAGGCUACUUUUUUGAGCUGAAAAUACUUACACCUUUCCUUUAUGUUCAUGUACUGAAUGAUCUUAAUAUUCCAAGUAUUUGGUCAUGGCUUAAAACCUCAUUUACUUGAUAUGUAUGUGCCUAUGUACGUAUGUAUGUAUAGGAUAUUACCAACAAAACAAAGGAAAAUUAACAUCAUUAAGUGUCCUUUUGAGCUCAACUAACCUUUGAAGAUAAAGGAAAAACAUAAUUUGAGAUUAGAGCUUUAAACGGAAAAUUGAUUCUAUUGAACGGGUAUUUACCAACUGCGAACCAAAAGUGCAUAGUCUGGCCGAGUUUGAAGGACAGGUAGGCCAUACUUAAAUGUCUUUCAUACCACCAGCUGAAAGGUAUAAAACCACUAACUGAAUUUAGUAUCUAUAUAUACUAAGUAGUAUAUAUACCAUAGAAAAAAACUCACAGAAGUCUACCGAUAGAUUUUUAUUGCAUGGCAGAGUCUAAAAUGCAGCUUUAAAACUUUGCCUUAUUUCAAAAGAUGGUAAAACCGUAUGACUUUUAGUUCAUAUGCACCAGAUUCAUAAGGCAAAUGCUAAAAUAUCAUAGUGUGUAGCUUUCUCCCUGCAAACUGGAAACUGAAGAAACUCCAUAUUCUAUAUGCUCCGUGCAUACAAAGGGAAACACUGUCGAUAUCCUCAUUCUCUUCUUGAUAAAAAAAUUUCCUAAAGAUGUCAGUAAAUAAUUACGACUUAGAUUAUUAUCACUUAGAUUCCUAACAUGAACAGAAAGGUACAGUAUUUUCCAAGCCUUGUAUUAUUCCUUAAAAAAUUUUUUUUAAAUUAGGAUUUAAUUGAUUUUUUAAAAUAGAAGCUUUUAAAUCUUUUAUACUAGGAACUGUUUCCACCUACCUGCUUAUAAAUUUAGUUCUGAAUAUUAACAAACAUUAUUCUCUAUUUCUUCAGAACACUUAAUGAAAAACUAAAAUGAUUUUAAAUGACAACUGUUAUUUUAAGGUUUCACUUUCAAUAAUUCUGACAAAUAUCAGAGAUGGGCUACCCAAACAUUCAUAAGUUAUACAUGAUUACAUGUAUUUUCUGUCAUCUCUAAGGCUCUGAAGAAUGUUACAUAGAGCUCUAUGCUUAUAAAUAUGUAUACAUAUAUUUGGAUGUGAAUGUAAAGAAAGGCCUCCUACAAACAUUCACACACACAUAAAAGGAGGAUGCCACAACAGUUGUUUUAAAAAUCUUCAGGAAUAAAGAAUGCUAGUUUGGUCAAAUGCAGUUGGUUAUACUAAAUUUGUUCCUUUUGAUGAUAAAGAGCAGAGAUGGCCACUUCUGAACAUGAAAAAGCACUGGUUAGCAUUUACGGGUUCGGGAGGGACCACUGGUUCACUGAAGCAUCAGUACCAGGCAAUGUAGAGACCCCAAGAUCCCAAGAGCCAGAAGUCCCAUGCACAGGAGGGGUGUGCCUGAUGUGGCUCCCCUUAAAAGGCCCUCACAUGCCACCCCGAGAGCUCUGCUUAGUGAUUCUCAACCAAAUGUCUCAACCUCUCAGACAGCUCAGACAGCAGGCUAUCCAAUGGCAAAAAUUUAUUCAACAGGAUGUGAAAACAGGAUUGUAUUUUAAAAUACAAAGCAGAAAAGACCAAACAUGAAAAUGUCUACUUUCCAAACAAAAAGUGAUUUUUUUAAAGUAUGCAAAGGUAAAAUGUGAAUAUUUGAAUAUUAGGUGGCUCAGUGUAAAAUGGGUCAUGAUUUCAACACUUUCCAAAGAUCAAUUCAGAAUCGUCAAAUGGAAAAAGGCUGAGAACCACUUUGUAGCCGUAACAGUGCAGCUCCUGGCUAUACUACUCCCACACUUGCAUAAAAUGUAUACAGAAUAUCAUGCAAAUCAUACUCCAAUAUUUCUCACAAGUAAAGCACACGAACCUUUGAGAACUGUUAGACACAAUGGGUUGAAUAGCCCAUGGACAUGGGGAAGUACAAGAUGAAGAAGAGUAACACCGAUAUAUACAUGUGUGUGUAUAUAUAUAUAUAUAAAUAUAUAUCAAUUUACCCUUUUCCUUUUUCCUGUAAAAGCAAAUUAACACAGACACCUGGGAUGAAAGUCAAAACUCACAUGGGACAGAUUUUAACUGCAGACUUUAAAACCAAGUAUGUUUCUCAUUUUAGGACAAUGUUUGCACGUCAACUAGUCACAAGGCACAGUGAAUGAAAUAUAAUAGACAAGAUCUCAGGAGUCAUUAGACAUCACGAAUUUUCUGCAUUGCCCAGGACACAGUACCUGUAGCUAUUGACAACACUUUGCAACACAUUACAGAGCGCAAGUUCAGGAAAGAAAAUAACCAUUUGUAACCUUACAUUAUGAACCUGAUGGAUGGCUGAGAAAGGAAAUCCAGCGUUCUGAUUCGUCCAUAUCUCACAGACAGACGACUGCUGAUAUAAACAGAAAACUAUCUCAUCUUGUCAAUAUUUAGAACAUGGCAGCUACCAUGGUAGAAUCAAGGAAAGGAAGGAGGAACAUAAUAAAAAGCAAAGAAUCACAUUUCUUAAACACUGACUCACGCACAUACACACACACACGUGCACGCGCACACACAAACUCAAAAAAUGUUUUAGGAUGCCCAGGUUUAAUAAUUGGCUUCCAAGUCAUUCUUUUGCUUAAAAGCAUUUUGGGUUGGCUGAAGGGGGGGGGGGUGGGUAAGAAAAAAAAAACACUUAUGCAUUAGUUUUAUAUCAAGGGAGAUUACCAAUAAAUGCACAUCUUGGAAAAAGCAAACUGUUUUACAUUUGCCAAAGAGAACGGAAAUAUCUUCCCUCUUCACAUCAUUCAUUUCAGAGGAUAAAUAGUUUCAUGAAGUUCAAGAUGGGAAAAAAGCCUUUAACGCAGAAUAAAUGUUUUUAUUUUCUUAUCUUCAAUGACCAAAAGCAAACAAUGCAAUAAAAUGACUUUCCUGACUUAGUCAUUGCUCCACUUGAUAAACCUAGAAGAUCCUUCUCCCUCCGGAGUUCUCAAGGGCAAAACUGCGGUUGACAUGGAAAGAAGCAUCAGUCUGCCACUCAGCAGUGGAAGUGUGUGUGGUGGGGGAGGCAGGAAGGAGAUUAGAGCAGGGAGGGGUUGGGGCCAGGAAGCCGGGGUCUGUUACUGAAGCAGACGCUUUGGUGAACAGCACUGGGGAGCCUAAUGAGUCAGCUCCGUGAUCUCAACUCUCCACCACACCAUUAACAAUUAAAUAAUUAACAAUUAUUAAAAGGCAAUAAUGUUUGCUUAGAACCAAAUGCCAAACUAAGUCCCCUCCCGGGAAUUACAGCAGAACCACCAAAUAAAGCGAAGAGACUCCUGGCUUGAUCUUUAUAGAGUUCUUUUCCUGAAUUCCACCAUUCUAAAAGACACCAUGAAAUUGAAUCACAGAAAAUGGCAGCAUGCCUAAACUUACUCAGUAAGCACUGUGAACAUCCCCAGAAUUCACAAGCAGGCCGUACAAAGAUCAUGCAGGAAGGAGAUAAGAACAUAACCACAAUAUGGUUUAGAAGCCCGGCAAAGAACAAUCGCAUCAGCAAAUGAAUUAUGGAAAAGAAACUUAUCCCUGGCUAAAUGUCUUCCCUACCUCCACCCUCCCAAAAAUGCUCACCAGAAAUUUAACAUCUCUCUGUCCAGUUACAGUGGCAUGUCCCACCCACACACAAACAUCUUUGCUUUCCAUCCCUUCUGUCAUCUGGAUGACUUGCUGGGGACGGAUUGUUAGGUAACUGGCAUUUCCUUAAGGAAGUCAGAUCCCUGGGGGCCUGACCAAAGGCAACUUCAACCACCUCCCACUUUAAGUGGUUUAACCAGGUUUGCUACUCUCAGCUCCCUCUCUCAACUCCAUGCUAUUUCCUCCACAGGGGAUCUUCCUCUUCCUACCUUUCAAAAAUUAAAACUCUAGCAAGCUAAGUGUUGCCCAUUAACCUCCCAGCCUCAUCUACAAUAGCUGCCAUCUGAUUUAAAUAUACUAACUCCAUGCUUUGGUGGGACUGCCAUCUUAACUGGCAUAAAACAUACUUCUAGGAUAUCCUUGACCUUUUCAGUACUAUCAUCCACAGUUCUGAGCUAAUUCUUUUACAACUUUCAGAGACUUUUAGUGCUAGAAGUAACCCAGGGACCGCUUGUCAUCUGCCAGAUGAAGGCGCUGAACUGACAUUCAGAGAGGGUAAGUGGCUUGCUCAGGUCACACAGGGGAGGGUCACAAGUCAGCCUGUGGGGAUGGCUGGGAAGGAGUGCCAGCUUGGUACUGACUUCACAGGAAGCCAAGGAAGGCAAAGGGAGUCUCCAGUUAUAUGGAGAUAUGUAUUGUUUUACUGAUCCUGGAACAAGUGUCUGUAAACGUAACCAGUUCAACGAAGAGUCUCAACUCCAUUGGAGUUCAAAUAACCUGAAUGUUUUAUUGUUUUCCAAUCCUUAUUCCCAAAUGGGCCAGCCCAGUCUCCCCUCCCUGAUGGGCAUCAGGCCACUUGACAUUUUGGGCAGAUCUCCUAACUUCCUGGUCACUGUGAGUCACUAAGAAUCCAUUUUGUAUGCAACUCCAGUAUCAUCUGAUUCGAACUUUGCCUUCCCUUACCACAGGCCAGUCUUGAGGCUUAAAAAACCAUGGUGGCUAAAAGAGAUUUGAUUUGUACUUGGUCCUCUUCUCCUUUGUUCUUCCUGUAGGAGCAGGGAGGAGUGGGGUGGAAUGGUCAAUCCUGGAAACCCAGGACCCAAGCUCUACCUCCUUCAUGCCCUUUGUUGGGGAGGAGAGCACAGGACAAGGACAAGGGCCUCUUUUCUUAUCUGGCUAUGGCUAGAUUCUCCGUUGGCUGCACUGCUUCUCCAGGUGACACUUGUGUAGCUGGUGCUUCUCCAGGUGACAUCCUUGUGUAGCUGGUGCACCCACCCUGCCCCACCCCCACACAGGUUCUGCUGUAUACCCCUGUGAGAUCUUUGGAGGGCUCUGCUGAGGAAGGGGAGUGGGUCCCCACUGCACAGUUCCUGAUGUGAGAAAUACGUCCCCAGCUUGACUUCCUCUAACCUCUGCUCAGCCCUCCUAGCGUCCAUGCUGGCCCCUUGGAUGGGACGCAGGGGACAGGGUAUAACCCAACCUCCUCAGGACGGGCUUGCUCUGUGACCACUCCCCUCUCUGCCAGGAGAUGUCCCUCCAGUUCCCUCUUCUUCAGCUCAGGCUGGUGUAUCUGCUUGUCAGAAUUCCAACUGUGGAAAGAGAUGCCAGUUUCCCCUUCUGGUAGGUUCCCCCACUCUGGAUAGACCUUCCUCUUAGAGCUCUUCUCACUAGGCUUAGAGGGCACGGGGACACCUCUCUCCUCUGCCACAUGCUCUCCUCAAUGGCUCAGACAGUUCUCAGCCCUUCCCAACACCAAUCUUCUGCCUGUGCAGACAGGCAGCUGACUGGGCAGGGCAGGACUCAUUACCUCUUGGUCAAUCCUGAACAAGGUAUCUGGCUCCAUUCUCAGCAGCUUUCUCUUGAGAAUGUUUGGUACUUAGUACCUACAUGAAAUUGCCCACUUAACAUCUUGUUACACGAAUAUUAUCUUCCAACAGUCCCAGAAAGUUACCACAGUUAAGGAGGGAAGAGACCAUCUCAUGCAUCACUUAUUUUAUUUUUAGAAAUCCAUAUAAAAUUUUUUUCAAUGAAGAAAAAAAACCUACCUCUAGUCACAUACACUGAAGAGACUUUGCAUAUGGUUUAUAUACAUUUUAAAGACGUUACAAUAACUAUUUUCAUGUAUAAGCUAUGUCUUAAACUUAGAAAAAAUAGAACUUCUAUAAUUUCCAACAAUUAAUUGACUCAAUGCAAAUGGUAAAAAGUCAGACUUUUAAAAAAGAGUUGAAAGUAGAUGCAGUUAAUUGAGUUUUAGUUAUGGAGGUUGUUGAAGAAAAAGCUGAUAAUUUCAGAUACCGCAAUAAUUCUGUUGGCAAUAAAUAAUUCGUGAGGCUCAAAGAGCAGUUACUUCAGGGGGAUCAGCUGUAACUGGUGUCUUCAUAAUAUAAAAUGGCUCUUCUUCUAGACACAAUGGUUAUUAGACUGAGUGCCAGAAUGAUUUUUUUAAAUGCAAAAGAGUUUCCACCACAGAAUUUCACUACAUUGAUGAAGAUAAUAUUUCGGGGUACAACUUGUACUGAAGUGCUGAGUUUUGAACAAUUCUGAGAAAGAAAAUACUGGUGAUAAGAUUUCAUCUAGGGCCCAAAUUCCUAGAACAGUAGUAACUUAAAUCUAAGCUUCGAUUAAGCGUUAGAGUGUCUUCAUCUGUGAAGAACAAUAAUAGUAUUUGACCCACUUAUUUCAUCAGGUUGUUCUGUAAUUCGUUAAGCUUCAUGAGAGACGGAACUUUUUCACAGCUAAAUUUCUAGGACCUGGAAAGUAGAAGGCCGUCAAAUGUAUUUACUGAAUCAGUGGAAUCAUAGAAUGUGUUCAAAAGUUUCUUGGCAAAUAGUAAAGCACUACAGGAACAUUAAUUACUGCUGUUCGUUAUCAUUUGUAAUUGGUCCGCUUUGUUGUUGACACUUGUGCCUUCCGUCAACGACGUCACUGCUGACGUAUUUCUGGUAAAAGGCACCAGAAAUUAACCUUGCAGACUUUUUAUUAGAACACUUCUCAUCUUUCCUGAUAAAAGCUGACAAAGGGCUGCUCACUUCGUUGAAGACAGAAGGAACAUUUGUAAUUAGUACACCUCUAUGUUAAAGGCCAGCUUAUACAAUUCUAUAAAAGGACGUUAAACAUCCCUCUGCAAGUUCAUUUGCUUAUUUCUCAGGCUAACUUAGCUUAUCUGAACCUGAAUUACCAUGAUAUCCAAAUAAAUGGGGAUUAAGGAAAGAUGUGUAGUAGUCUUAUAACUGAGAUAUAAUUAAUAAUUUAAUGUUGAUUUCCUUGAUGAAGUGAAGGUAUAUAAUUUUAUCAUUAGUGUAGACCUCUCUCCUCACUCUGGAAAUGUUUUCUUAAAAUACAACACACAGCUCACUCAUUCUUGUCACCGUCCUGUAUCUCAGGUUACCAGGAAUUCGGUUCAGAAAAUACAACACGCUUGCAUUCAAAUAUACUGACAAAAUGGAAAGCGCAUUCUCUCUCUUCAAGGUUUUCUUCCUAAAGGUGGACUUCUUUUCUGCUCAACUGGUAGCAAUCCAGUAGUUUAUAGUAUAUUCUCUCUUCCUCCUCAUCUAUUUCCCCCCUCUUUACCAGAGCAUUCUCAAACAGUGCUAUAACAUCUUCUACUAAAAGCCAACAGACUCCUUCCCUUGAUCACCUACUCAAUUUCUGCUCUUCUUUAAGAACCACAACACCCCAAGAGGUGCCUAUGCCGUCUCCAUGUUCCCUUUUCCUGUCCUCACUUGAGUCCACCUUUCUCCUGAGCUCCAGACUCAGACACCCAGUUGCCUUCUUGGCACCUCUACUUUGAUGAUUAAUAGGCAUCUUAACCUUAAAUGUCCAAACCAAGCUCCUGCUUACCUCACCUUCUUUUUUAAGCCUUCUUGUCUUAGCAAAUGGCAAAUCCCUUCUUCCAGUGGGAAUCAUCCUUUUGCUCACAUUUCCCAUCCAGGAGCAAAUCCUGUUGAAUCCACUUCUACAGCCUUCUCAUCCUAACACUGCCUGAUCCAAGCCACUACCUUUUCUCACUUGGAUUAUUCCAUGAGCUUGCAAACUGGUCUCAUUGCUUUCACCCUUGCCUCCUUGGUGCUUACUCUCAAUACAACAGCCACCAUGACCUGUUUGAAAUGAAAGCUGCAUUGUGCUGCUCUGCUCCAUUUAACUCACAGGAAAAUCCAGAGUCCUAACGAUGGCCUGCAAGCAUCUCUGUCCUCUGCCACCCAUCUCCGCUUCAUCUGUCCACCCUCCGCUCCUACUAUUCUUCUUGCUGGUUCUGGACAGCAAAGCACACUCCUGCUUCAAGCCUUUGAAUGUGUCUCCCCUUCUGCCUGAGAUGUUCUUCCUCCAGCUACUGUGGGACUAGCUCCCUUAUCUCCUGCAGGCUCUACUCCAAUGUCACCUUCUCAGAGAAGACUUCCCUGAGCAUCUGGCAUAUUAUAUCCAAAUUAAGUCUAUGUUUCCCCCACUGUAAACAGAUUAUUCUUUCAAGCGGAAGUUGAACGUUUAAAAAAAGUUUACAGCAUAGGAAUCUGUCUCCCUGGCACCCUGACAUCAUUCCAGGAUAGCUACUGCAUCUUCUGAGCGCAAGGCAUGGGUCACAAAGUAAGUAGGAAACGGUUCUGCUUUUUGUCACUGUUUAUGGAAUGCAGACUGUUACAGACACAAUCCCUUUUCCACUGUCAGGACCCGUAGUAAACUGGGAUUCAGAGGCUGAUGGUGGGUCUUGGAAUGGAGCAAGCUGACAGUAGCUCCGUCUACCCACCAACACCAAUUAGGCUCUGAAAACCUGCCAACACUGUGUAGUUAGUUUAAUAAUAAUAAAAAAAAAAGUGUGUGAAUAGAGCCCUCUGGUCAGAUUCUACCAGAGAUGAAAUUUCCUGCCUUGUGCUGGCCCUGAAAAAGAAAAUCAUUUUUUUCUCGGUUUCUCCCUUACUUUUGUCAUAAUUCUUUCACACUUCGGGUUGUUCAGAAAUUGACCAGAAAGAAUCCAACAAGAAAUAAGAAAGGUUCAGGGUGAAAGCUAAAGGUAUAAUGAAGCCCAUUCCUUCUCUUGGAUGCCAGCACUUCUAAAAUAAAACAAAAACAAACUUGAAGACUGAACAAAACAGCUUCAAAGGCAAAAGAAAAAAGGGCACCCUAACAAAGGAAGGCUCGGGCAACAGCCAGCGGACUUGGCGGCUCCUUGAGCAGAGACUAAAAUGAGAUCCAUCAAAAGAUGGAGUCAAAGGGACUCAGUUCAGGCAAGGAUUGAUGCACCAAACACCUCUGUCUUUUCUUCCAGCAGUGACAGCCCUGCAGCCCCUUCCUCCAGGGGCACUAACGGAACGCUGCCUGGAAAUCAGAAAACUGGAACCCUCUGUCUCUCCAGAGUUGUCCAGAGGCUGUGAGGCAGCCUCGGAUCACUUCUGUCCCUCUGCUGUUGAUACAGAAAAGGUGCUCCUCUGCCCCAUGCACAUGGCCCUCAACUGUAUGUGAUUCUUCUUUUUCAACUAUACUUGAAUGUCUCAAGUUCAAGUUUUUUUGUUUUGUUUUGCUAUUUAUUUGCCACCGAUGCUUGUUCUAAAAGUUUUCAGAUGGACUGUUUCAUUUGCAGGGGACGCUGGACUCGAGAAAAUCCUGCUUCCUGUCAUUUCUCCACCUUUCUGAAGAGCAGUCCUAUCAAACCUUCGUGACCGUGACCUUCCCCUGUGUCCACAGGGAAAUUCUUGGACAGAUCACCUGCUGGAAGUGAAAAGUCAGGCCAACAGUUGUUCUCGGUGUGAGAUCCACUAUUGCUGGUGUCAGCAUUAAUCCAUCUAGCAAAAGUGGGAAGGACUAAAUACCAUUUUUGGUCCCAUCAAAAGUCCAUUGGUACGAUAGAGAUUCCGAUUAUAAAUUCCUAUUGCUUGCCCAAAUUUACAGGUUUCUCUCUUUCCCUCCCCUCCUACCUUCCUUUCUCCUUCCCUUCCUUCCUUGUUAACUGAUUCUGCUACUGACAGCACAUAAAAUCAGCCCUCAGCUACCAGAGUAGGAGAGAACUAUAGGCUUUAUGAUUUCUGUUAUUCAUUUGUAGAGAUAAUGUAUAACCCGCAUUCCCUAAUAUGACGGUUGUAGCCCUAAAUGACAAUACACAAUUAUUUAUGAUAUCUCUUCAAAAAAAAAAUAAAGCAGGGCAAGAAAGAAGGAACAUUGCACAGUCCAGAUCUUAUUGUCCCAGUUUCUCUGGAUAUUGUAGGGAAUUUAAGUCAAGUGGGAUCAUGCUGCUUAUUGCAAUAUGGGCUAUUUGUUCUGCCUCAGACUUUGGAUGCCACCAUUACUGAUACAUUUUUCAGAACAACUAAACACCUAAAAACCAGAAAUAUUAAUAACUCAUUCAGAAAAGCAGCGAUCAGCUUUUUUAUCAUAACAGGAAAUGCUGCAAAGGAACUGGAUUUUGCAGAGUAAUACUGUUCUUUGCCUGUAACAUCUUUUUAUACAUUAUGCUCCUUUCUUGUAAACUGACACUGUCAUUUUCUUUAUUUAAACCCGUUUAUUAACUAGAUGCUCAACACUGCUUCUUGCAUCUGGUAACAAAGAUGUAUUGGAUAAAGCCAUUCAUUCACCAACGUUGAGACCCACUAUCUCCUCAUAUUAUCCUUAUGCGAAAUAUGGACAAACGAGGUCUAGUUGAAUGAUUAUCUUAAAUGAUGCCCAUCCAAGAGGUCCCUGGCAGAAGACUGCAUUUUUUUUCUUCAGUUCUGCCUGUUCAACACUGAAAUCAACACAUUGGAGAAAUUACUUGAAAGGCAUACUUUUUCGAGGGAGCCGGAGGGAGAGGUUCAGGAGGGGAAGGAAAGAGAGCAGAGUAAGUAGGAGGAAGUUACUCGUCUACAGAGGCAUUUUAGGAUGUUUACACUGAAGGCACCUACAUCUUUACCUCCUUUUGUGUAGCGAAAUGAAGGCCAGCCAUGAUCAGCAAGGCUGGAGAACAGAGAGUCAUUAAAAAGACGGAGUCAUUAGCUGCUGAUGGUGGUGGUCCUGUCCUCCCAUACGGCACAAAGAGGAACGGUCAUGAGGUGAAGGGGCAAUGGAACAGAGUGGUUUUAAGUCCAUAAAAGGAUUACUGACAGGGGCACCUGGGUGGCUCAGUUGGUUGAACAUCUGACUCUUGACUUCAGCUCAAGUUACAAUCCCAUGGUUCAUGGGUUUGAGCCCUGCGUUGGACUCCACACUGAUGGUGCAGAGUCUUCUUGGGAUUCUCUCUCCAUCCUUCUCUGCCCCUACCCUGCUGGCACUCUAAAUCUCUGUCUCACACAAAUAAAUAAAUAUUAGAAAAAAAGGAUCACUGACAGAUCUGACUCACUUCACCGUUUCUCCCAUUCCCAACCCCUCUCAUUUCCAGGGUUAGGUUAGGUGGGAAGGAUCCCAUAUCUUCACAUUAGAGUCUCAUUACAUUUCUAUAGCUAUGGUAAAAUUCUCAGUAAAGUUAACACAGCUUCUCUUUUGGAGUUAUGCUAUUUCAUAAUUUCCAGUUCUCAGUGGAGAUGUUGUUAAUAUAAUUGUAUCAGGCUUCAUAUCCUGAUUUUGGCAUUUCUCUUAUCAAUUUUCUGGGAGGACCUUCUUGGAGCCUAAUUUUGGGAGGACCUUCUUGGAACAUCCUUGUUGCUUGUUGUUCUAAUGGUUCCCAUAUGGCUCUGUACUAUGUGCGGGAUCUGACAGUGUCUUCUGGAGGAGGAAGAGAAGACCUUACCAUCUACAGCAAAUGACCAAAGAUCUACUGUGAUGGUAGAGUUAAUGUGACCAAUUAACAAUGUUUGAAAAAAAAUGUCUGCCCAGCUGUUGAUCUCAUCAAGAGAAAAAAUAAAACCCACAAGAAUCAUCUUAAAAAAGAACAUAAUUAGUUUUGAUUCGAAGACAGCAUGUAAAAGUUCUGCACUAAUUUCUAGUCUGAAGAUAUUCAUAAAAUAUUAGAGCUGGCACAAACUCUGUUGAUUACUGGAAGAAAAAGGUUUUAAGUUUGUGGAAACGGAGACUCAGAGGGUGAUGUGUUCAAGGUCACCCAGAGUUAACAGAAAAGCCAGUAGUGAAUCUUGGGUUUUCUGAGUUCUGAUAUGCCACUUUUUUUUUUUUCCUGCAAAUCACAGCAUCUGAGAUUCACACUUUGAAAAAGAGUGACAUAAAAUAACAUGUCAUUUUGAGGUUAGCUUUCUACUGUGACAGAUGAUUAAAAAAAAAUCCUGACCUUCCUGUUUCCACAUGUUUAAAAUGCUAUCAAUAUUUUAAAUUUAAUUUUCUUUUAAAAAUACAGUAAUGAUUUUUGAG